rnacentral:rRNA from 1 species
AGAGUUUGAUCCUGGCUCAGGACGAACGCUGGCGGCGUGCUUAAGACAUGCAAGUCGUACGAGAACGUCUCUUCGGAGGCUAGUAAAGUGGCGCACGGGUGAGUAACGCGUGGGUAAUCUGCCCUUAGGUUUGGGAUAACCCCGGGAAACCGGAGCUAAUACCGAAUAAGACCACGAUGGCCUCGGUCGAUGUGGGAAAAGAUGGCCUCUUCUUGAAAGCUAUCGCCAAAGGAUGAGCCCGCGUUUGAUUAGCUUGUUGGUGAGGUAACGGCUCACCAAGGCUCCGAUCAAUAGCUGGUCUGAGAGGAUGAUCAGCCACACUGGAACUGAGACACGGUCCAGACUCCUACGGGAGGCAGCAGUCGGGAAUAUUGGGCAAUGGAGGAAACUCUGACCCAGCAACGCCGCGUGAAGGAUGAAGGCCCUCGGGUCGUAAACUUCUGUCGAGAGGGAAGAACUACGUACGGUUAAUAUCCGUGCGUUUGACGGUACCUCCAAAGGAAGCACCGGCUAACUCCGUGCCAGCAGCCGCGGUAAUACGGAGGGUGCAAGCGUUGUUCGGAUUUAUUGGGCGUAAAGCGAGUGUAGGCGGUUUGACAAGUCGGGUGUGAAAGCCCAGGGCCCAACCCUGGAACUGCAUCCGAUACUGUCAGGCUAGAGUCCCGGAGAGGAUGGCGGAAUUCCCGGUGUAGGGGUGAAAUCCGUAGAUAUCGGGAGGAACACCAGUGGCGAAGGCGGCCAUCUGGACGGUGACUGACGCUGAGACUCGAAAGUGUGGGUAGCAAACAGGAUUAGAUACCCUGGUAGUCCACACCGUAAACGGUGAGAGCUCGUCGUAGUGGGUAUUGACCCCUGCUGUGACCAAGUUAACGCAUGAAGCUCUCCGCCUGGGAAGUACGGUCGCAAGACUGAAACUCAAAGAAAUUGACGGGGCCCGCAC